AGAUGGCCGCGCCGGCGGGCACCGAGCUGGCCUCCGCCGCAUCGAUGACUGCUCCUGCGUCCUCUGAGUGGAGGAGGCGCCGCGCGUGGCGAGCGCAGUGUCCCGUCAGGCAGCAGAGCGAGCCGCCGGCCCACGAGACGUCCCCGGACAGCCCUCCCUGCGGCCGAGCGCUUGCGGCGGUGGCCCGGCCGUACGCCAAGAUGGUGGCGCCCGCGCACUUCCGCCCUGCGCCGGAUGCUCGCGGCGCCCGCGUCCCGAUUGGCCCCCGCCGCGUCCGGUCGCCGCGUCGCGCUGCGGGCGGGUCGGAGCGGCGCCGCUCGGGUCAGUCGGCGGCCGGGCGAGGAAGAUGGACGCAGCUACUCUGACCUACGACACUCUCCGGUUUGCUGAGUUUGAAGAUUUCCCUGAGACCUCAGAGCCCGUUUGGAUACUGGGUAGAAGAUACAGCAUUUUCACAGAAAAGGACGAGAUCUUGUCUGAUGUGGCAUCUAGACUUUGGUUUACAUACAGGAAAAACUUUGCAGCCAUUGGGGGGACAGGCCCCACCUCGGACACGGGCUGGGGCUGCAUGCUGCGGUGCGGACAGAUGAUCUUCGCCCAGGCCCUGGUGUGCCGGCACUUAGGCCGAGACUGGAGGUGGACGCAGCGGAAGAGGCAGCCCGACAGCUACUUCAGUGUCCUCCACGCUUUCCUCGACAGGAAGGACAGUUACUACUCCAUUCACCAGAUAGCACAAAUGGGCGUUGGCGAAGGCAAGUCUAUCGGCCAGUGGUACGGGCCCAACACCGUUGCCCAGGUCCUCAAGAAGCUUGCUGUCUUCGACACGUGGAGCUCCUUGGCAGUUCACAUAGCGAUGGACAACACCGUGGUGAUGGAGGAAAUCAGAAGGCUGUGCAGGGCCGGCCCACCCUGUGCCGGGGCCGCCGCCUUCCCCGCGGACCCCGAGCGGCUCUGCAAUGGAUUCCCGGCCGGAGCGGAGGUCGUGGCCAGGCCGUCGCCCUGGAGACCCCUGGUGCUGCUCAUCCCGCUGCGCCUGGGGCUCACGGACAUCAAUGAGGCCUAUGUGGAGACGCUGAAGCGCUGCUUCAUGAUGCCCCAGUCCCUGGGGGUGAUCGGAGGGAAGCCCAACAGCGCCCACUACUUCAUCGGUUACGUGGGGGAGGAGCUCAUCUACCUGGACCCCCACACGACGCAGCCGGCGGUGGAGUUCGCUGACGGCGGCCCCGUCCCCGACGAGACCUUCCACUGCCAGCACCCGCCCUGCAGGAUGAGCAUCGGGGAGCUCGACCCGUCCAUCGCUGUGGAGCUGAGACCGAAGGGGACACAGGGUGGGACAACUCCCGUCCCUGCCCGCGAGGAGGAAGAGUGCGCGCUGGCUCCUCGGGCCCAGCAGAGCCGCGGGCAGCAGCAACAGCGUCUUCAAACGAGAAGAGAGGACGCCCAGUUUGAGCUUCUCCCUCCGCUUCGUAUUUCUGUUUCCCUUCUUGUUUAUUUUUCUUUUCACGUUAACAUCUGUGAAUCGGGCAGUGUUGAGAAUUCCUAGCAGCUGUCAGUCCAGACGGCUUUAAGAAUAUGGUUUUCCAGGUGGUUCCUGGCAGGGCCGCUGCCAGUCAGCUUCCUUGGCAGGGGCUCCCUGUUCGCAGUGCAGCCGCUCAUGUCCUCGGAGCGUCUUGGUGGCCUUUGCUGCUGAGCUUCUCGGCAGAGGCUGGGCGGAGGCCGAGUCUCGGAGCCGCCAGCCCUGCCACCAGGAGAAGCGGGGGCUCCCCGCUCGGCCCUGACACCCAGUCACAGCUUGCACACAACCUAACACCUAUGGGUAAAUCAAGGCAGGGGCCAAGGGCUGAGUGAAGCGACAGCGCAAGGAGAGUUGGGUCCUGGGUCCAGAGGGCCACGGACAGCUUCGGGGGCCCAGGGAGCUCCCUUCCCGGCCGGCGCCUGCGUGCGGGGGCCGUGUCUGCACUCUGGGCAGUGGGGGUGAAGACCCCGCACCUCAGCUGACCGCGGGUGCUGCUCCCUGUUUACAGUCGUUUCCUUUUAGGGGUUUUUCUGUAAGACGGAGGACGACUUCAAUGACUGGUGCCAGCAAGUCAAAAAGCUGUCACUGCGUGGAGGUGCCCUGCCCAUGUUCGAGCUGGUGG